GUGUCAGCAGCCGCGGUAAUACGGAGGUUGCGAGCGUUGUUCGGAAUGACUGGGCGUAAAGGGAGCGCAGGCGGCUCGUUAGGUCCGGAGUGAAAGCCCGGGGCUCAACCCCGGCGGGUCUUCGGAUACCGGCGAGCUCGAGUACGGAAGAGGAGGGUGGAAUUCCAGGUGUAGCGGUGAAAUGCGUAGAUAUCUGGAGGAACACCGGUGGCGAAAGCGGCCCUCUGGUCCGAUACUGACGCUGAGGCUCGAAAGCGUGGGGAGCAAACGGGAUUAGAAACCCCCGUAGUCC
rnacentral:rRNA from 1 species